CCUACGGGUGGCAGCAGUGGGGGAUAUUGCACAAUGGGGGAAACCCUGAUGCAGCGACGCCGCGUGUGGGAAGACGGUCCUCUGGAUUGUACACCACUGUCCCCAGGGACGAAGGUGACGGUACCUGGGGAGGAAGCUCCGGCGAACUACGUGCCAUCAGCGGCGGUAAUACGUAGGGAGCAAGCGUUGUCCGGAAUUACUGGGUGUAAAGGGAGCGUAGGAGGUAUGGAAAGGUGAGUGUUAAAUCUACCGGCUAAACUGGUAGUCGAACUUAAAACUGCUAUUCUUGAGGGAAGUAGAGGUAGGCGGAAUUCCUAGUGUAGCGGUGAAAUGCGUAGAUAUUAGGAGGAACACCAGUGGCGAAGGCGGCCUGCUGGGCUUUUACUGACGCUGAGGCUCGAAAGUGUGGGGAGCAAACAGGAUUAGAUACCCGAGUAGUC
rnacentral:rRNA from 1 species